rnacentral:rRNA from 1 species
GUACACGCUGUGACUAGCAUAUCAAUAAGCGGAGGAAAAGAAACUAACAAGGAUUCCCCUUAGUAACGGCGAGUGAAGCGGGAAGAGCUCAAAUUUGAAAUCUUGAAAGGUCACCUUUCACGAAUCGUAGUUUAAAGAAGUGUUUUCUGUUACGAUCGUAAUAUAAGUUCUUUGGAAUAGGACAUCACAGAGGGUGAGAAUCCCGUCUAUGAUUGCGAUUUGUAGCUUUGUGAUACACUUUCAAAGAGUCGGGUUGUUUGGGAAUGCAGUCCCAAAACGGGAGGUAAAUUUCUUCUAAGGCUAAAUAUUGGCGAGAGACCGAUAGCGAACAAGUACCGUGAGGGAAAGAUGAAAAGAACUUUGAAAAGAGAGUUAAAUAGUACGUGAAAUUGUCAAAAGGGAAGCGUUUAACACCAGUGUCGUUUUCUGAAAAUCAACCUCUGUUAGCUUUAUGCAUGUUUGUUUAGACCUAAUCAGCUAUCUUGCAUGUUCUAUUGUUUGCAGUGGUGCACUUUUCAGUUUACAGGUCAACAUCAGUUUUUUUUACCGUAAACAAGUUAAAGAAAGGUAGCUCAUGGCUCCGGUCGUGAGUGUUAUAGUCUUUUUCCUAUGCGGUAGGAGAGACUGAGGUCUGCAGUGUAGGCUAUUUGGCUAGAUACUCAGGUGCUAUGUGAUACCAUUUCAUAAACAACUUGUUGAUUAUGUUUUGUCUAUUGCAUACUCGCUUGUACUAUCAUACCUACGCUUAGGAUGUUGACGCAUGAGAUAUACGC